CCAGACUCCUACGGGAGGCAGCAGUGAGGAAUAUUGGUCAAUGGCCGAGAGGCUGAACCAGCCAAGUCGCGUGAGGGAAGACGGCCCUACGGGUUGUAAACCUCUUUUGCCGGGGAGCAAGCGUGCGUUCGUGAACGCACGUCGAGAGUACCCGGAGAAAAAGCAUCGGCUAACUCCGUGCCAGCAGCCGCGGUAAUACGGAGGAUGCGAGCGUUAUCCGGAUUUAUUGGGUUUAAAGGGUGCGCAGGCGGAGGUGCAGGUCAGCGGUCAAAUUGCGGGGCUCAACCCCGUACUGCCGUUGAAACUGCAUCCCUUGAGUGCGCGAGAAGUAUGCGGAAUGCGUGGUGUAGCGGUGAAAUGCAUAGAUAUCACGCAGAACUCCGAUUGCGAAGGCAGCAUACCGGCGCGCAACUGACGCUCAUGCACGAAAGCGUGGGUAUCGAACAGGAUUAGAUACCCGAGUA
rnacentral:rRNA from 1 species